CUCCCACAACAUGUGGGAUUUCUGGGAUACAAUUCAAGUUGAGAUUUGGUGGGGAUGCAGUCAAACCACAUCAGCUCCCAUUUUGCAAGUGAGGAAAUCAAGACUCAGAGGGGUGAGGUUGCUUGCUUGGGAUUGCACGGAUCAGUCGGUGGUAGAGUUACGAUCCAAAUCCAGGCUUUAGUUGCCUGCUUCCAGUUCUUUCCACGUGGCUCUAGGAACCAGCAUUAACAGCCUGAGGCCGUGGAGCAUGGUAGGGACUCAGGAGCCAGACUGCCAUCUGCAAAAUCCGUCUCUGUGUGAAGGACCACUCUUUUGGAGGAAGCUGGCAGCCAUUUCAUGAGGAGACUCAAGCAGCCUAGGAGAGGUGGCAGUGGUGAAGAACUGAGGCUUCCUGCUGUCAGCUAGUGAGGAACUGAGGCCUCUUCACACACGGAUAAUCAGAAAGUAAACCAAAACCAAGACCCAUCCACAUGGCCGUGAACCACCCCCAAGCCACCAAUGGCAGCCCUGACGCAUACCUUGCUUGAUGACGGGUGGCUUGCGGGCGUCGUCCACCACGAACGAGAACAUCUCCUUGUUGGCGCUCACAGGCCGCCUGUGGGAGGCCGGCAGGACCACGCCCAGAGAGAAGAUGAGCUCAGACACACACAAUGAGGAAAAGGACAGAAUGCUUCCAAAAUCAGAGCUCCAGCAGACAGCACUUCCUAGAACUUCAGCUGGGUUUCAUUGAAAAGGAGGGCUCUCCACUCAGGAUCCUAAUCUCCAAGCUGCAGUCUGUCUACAGCUGCUCAGGGAUCCUAUGCAUUCCCCCUAAGGCUCUUUCUUGGAGUCAGUGAGGAGUGUUCUGGGAAAUCUGGCACCAAACUCCGAUCACCUGGUGAUACAUGGUUUGGCUGUGCCCCACCCAAAUCUCAUCUUGAACUGUAGUUCCCAAAAUCCCCUUAGGACGGACUGGGAGGGACCUGGUGGGAGGUAAUGGAAUCAUGGGGGCAGUUACCUCCAUGCUGCUCUCGUGAUAAUGAGUGACUUCUUGUAAGAUCUGAUGGUUUUAUAAUGGGCUUUCCCCACCCCCUUGCUCUGCACUUCUCCUUGCUGCCGCCAUGUGAGGAAGGACACGUUUGCUUCCCCUUCUGCCAUGAUUGUAAGUUUCCUGAGGCCUCCCCAGCCCUGGGGAACUGUGAGUCAAUUAAACCUGUUCGUUUUUAAAUUACACAGUCUCUGGUAUGUCCUUAUAGCAGUGUGAGAAUGGACUAAUACAUCUGGGGACACCUGGCCAGGCAUUCAAAUGACACUGGCCCACUUGAAGUCUGUUUUCAGGAGUGGGUCUGGGCCGAGUUCCAGAACUCUGUUACCUUACGUGUAGUUUCCCAUUUCUCUCCACUGUCAACAUCUCAGCCUCUCCACCUACCCUCUUUUCCAUUCUUUGGUUUCAGAAGCUGAGCCACUGUGCCCCUGCCCUGGGCUGACUUCUCCGUCCAUCAUGUCCUUCCC
rnacentral:lncRNA from 10 species